GAAAUGGAGAAAAAUGAGUUUUUAAGGAAUAAAAGAGAGUUGGUCGGUACAAGGGACAGUUUUGGCGGUGGAUUUCCCGCCAAAACCUAACCCUUCCGUCAACUCCCGUUCAGCUUUGUUAACCCAAACUGACGGAAGGGGCAACAAGAAUGCAAUAUUAAAGUUUAGGGGGGUAAAUGUCUAAUUUCAGAGUUUGGGGGGUAAAGUGAAACUCCGCCAAAAGUUCAGGGGGCAACAGUGCAAUUUACCC
rnacentral:lncRNA from 1 species